rnacentral:lncRNA from 1 species
GGGAUAAAGAGGGAAAUUCAGAAAAACAAAAUAAAAAUUAAAGAGACACUGGCAUUUGAGAAUCCUUAAUUUUAAUGGUUAAUUAAAAUGAAUUACUUUGUAGUCUACAGUCAACAUUUCAAAAAUCCUAGAUCAGUUUGGGAAGAGCAGACAACUCAUCCAGUCUGUAGGAUAAGAUCACUUAAUAUAUUAAGCAUCGAGAACACCACACCUAGCGCAAAGCUUAUUUGUCAAAAUUAUUACUACGGUGCAGCCACCGCCCCACAAAUCACUUCCAUAUCCCUACUGGCAUCUUGGUGAGAGAGAAGGAGAUUGCCAGCUGAGUCAUUGUAACGAAAGGGCUGAGGAAGUAACAAGAUUACUGGGUUGGAUGAUAAGUACGUGAGUAAGUGAAAAGGUUUUUCUGGGAUUGAAUCAUGACGGUGUGAAGAAUUGUGAUUAAAAUGAUGCAUGAAGAUUAACUGGGGUGUGAUAUGAGCGUGACAUUGAAAUAUCAAUGAAGAUCCUUAGCAAGAAAUCACGGAUAUUUCCAUGAUAUAUAAUAAUUGUACAUACAAUUAUAUUGGGAACUCUGCAUUACUUAGUAAACAGUCUCAAGCCCGGAUUAGAAAAAGGAUGCGGGUGGCAAGAGAUUAGCAAACCAACGCAAUACAGUCACAUCUCAUCUCAUGAAUUUUUUUAUACUUCAUACAGAAAAGCAAAAGUAAAAUCUAUAUUGAAGAAAGAGAUAUCCAUAAGGUUUCAUGGAUAUUGGAAUAUCUUCAUGAAAAGAAAAUGCAGCAAGAAUAGUCUUCAUUAUCCAUCCCCAGACUCGUGGACAUUGGAGAUGUCAACAAAUUUAUCAACUGCAUCAUGGAGAUUGAAAAUGGUUCUUUAUGUUUGCCUACCUAAGUUUAUAAGUUUUUAUAUAAAUAAAAAGCCUAAAUUGACUAGAUCAUCACAAGGGUAGAAUUUCAUAAUUCAAGAAGACGAAGAAUCAUGCAUAACUGGCAUGAGAUUAGCCCUCUCAGUACCACAGGGAGGAAAACACAUAAAUCUUAGCUUUUCAAUAUUAUAUUUGCUAUGCUAAGUUAACACAACAAUCUCACAUCAUGAAUAAGUAGUAGAUUUCAGCGGCAGCACAUGCCAGCAAUAUAGG